GAGUUUGAUCCUGGCUCAGAUUGAACGCUGGCGGCAGGCUUAACACAUGCAAGUCGAGCGGAGAUGAGGUGCUUGCACCUUAUCUCAGCGGCGGACGGGUGAGUAAUGCUUAGGAAUCUGCCUAUUAGUGGGGGACAACAUUCCGAAAGGAAUGCUAAUACCGCAUACGUCCUACGGGAGAAAGCAGGGGAUCUUCGGACCUUGCGCUAAUAGAUGAGCCUAAGUCGGAUUAGCUAGUUGGUGGGGUAAAGGGCCUACCAAGGCGACGAUCUGUAGCGGGUCUGAGAGGAUGAUCCGCCACACUGGGACUGAGACACGGCCCAGACUCCUACGGGAGGCAGCAGUGGGGAAUAUUGGACAAUGGGGGGAACCCUGAUCCAGCCAUGCCGCGUGUGUGAGAAGGCCUUAUGGUUGUAAAGCACUUUAAGCGAGGAGGAGGCUACUGAGACUAAUACUCUUGGAUAGUGGACGUUACUCGCAGAAUAAGCACCGGCU
rnacentral:rRNA from 1 species